UUCUUAAUCCGCUUAAGCCACAACGGGAAUUCCCAUAGAUUUUUUAAUAAUGAAAAUAAUGUAUAUCGAAACCAUAUGAGUUCAUAUAUUCAUAUGUCUGAUACCUUAGCUAUAUUUUUUAUAGAAAACAUAGAUUGUCAAUAUAUACUUUAACUUUUGUAGUAAAGGAAGAGAUGUUGGGAUAGCAGUACAUUCAUAGGCAAUCUUACUCUUUGCAGAAUAGUAAAACUUGUUUUCUUUUCCAGCAGAUGUGUCCUGUGUCACUUACUAAGUCCAAAGAACUGAGAUUGCCUUUUUAUAAAAUAAAACAAAAUUCAUGAUGAAUCCAUUCUUUAUUAAGCCAUAAGGAUUUGGAUCUGGACACUACUGCAUCCUGCAUGAUAUAAAAGAAAAAUAACCCAGAGGAAAAUUGCAAGACAAGAAAAAUAAGACAGUGAGGAUGUGUCAAUCCUGAGGUCACACAGCUGGUAAGUGGUAGAACAGAGACUGGGACCCAGAUCUGCCAGAGGAAAUCCGUGUUCUAAAUCUGUGGCCUUAAAAGUGGGUACCCACACCCCAGAUGGUGUGCAAGAAGAUUCACUAGGAUGCUAGACGUUAAUAAUAAAUUGUACAUUUAAGUAAAAACGAAAAGCACAAGUUUACCAGAAUUUAGUAUUAUAGGUUGACAUAGGAACCCUUACUAGAUCCGCAUGUCAGGUGGUCAAAUAAAAUGUGGUACAUGACUUAUUUCAGGGAACUGUGGGCAUCUGACUAUGUGGAGAAGGCAGUAGUACCUGUCACUUUGGGCAUGUUGCCACAUCUUACAACACGUGUGCUCAUUUUAGUGCAUUUAUGGAUGACAUUAUGCACUUUGAAUUUUUUUUAUUAAAGUACAGUUGAUUUACAAUGUUUCUUCAAUUUCUGUUGCACAGC